GGACCCGCACAAGCGGUGGAGUAUGUGGUUUAAUUCGACGACAACACGAAGCAACCUUACCAGGGUUUGAAAUCAUUUCAAAACUCCUUGAAAGAGGAGCCUCCUUCGGGAUGAAAUGACAGGUGGUGCAUGGCUGUCGUCAGCUCGUGUUGUGAAAUGUCGAGUUAAGUCUCGUAACGAGCGCAACCCAUGUCUCUUGUUGCUCACUGAGUGCUUAAGAGAGACUGCCGACCAACAUCGGAGGAAGGUGUGGAUGAUGUCAAGUCAGCAUGCCCCUUACAUCCUGGGGCUACACACGUACUACAAUGGUAAGGACAAUGAGCUGCGAUCCUGCGAAGGCUAGCC
rnacentral:rRNA from 1 species